GACAGGAGGGUGCAAACGUUGUUCGGAAUUACUGGGCGUAAAGCGCGUGUAGGCGUGCUUGGCAAGUCGGAUGUGAAAGCCCUGGGCUCAACCCAGGAACGUGCAUUCGAAACUGCGUAGCUGGAGUCCUGGAGAGGAAGGCGGAAUUCUCGGUGUAGGAGGUGAAAUUCGUAGAUAUCGAGAGGAACAGCCGGUGGCGAAGGCGGCCUUCUGGACAGUGACUGACGCUGAGACGCGAAAGCGUGGGGAGCAAACAGG
rnacentral:rRNA from 1 species